CGAACGCUGGCGGCGUGCUUAACACAUGCAAGUCGAACGAUGAAGCCGCUUCGGUGGUGGAUUAGUGGCAUGACGUGGUAACACGUGGGCAAUCUGCCCUGCACUCUGGGACAAGCCCUGGAAACGGGGUCUAAUACCGGAUAUGACACGGGAUCGCAUGGUCUCCGUGUGGAAAGCUCCGGCGGUGCAGGAUGAGCCCGCGGCCUAUCAGCUUGUUGGUGGGGUGAUGGCCUACCAAGGCGACGACGGGUAGCCGGCCUGAGAGGGCGACCGGCCACACUGGGACUGAGACACGGCCCAGACUCCUACGGGAGGCAGCAGUGGGGAAUAUUGCACAAUGGGCGCAAGCCUGAUGCAGCGACGCCGCGUGAGGGAUGACGGCCUUCGGGUUGUAAACCUCUUUCAGCAGGGAAGAAGCGCGAGUGACGGUACCUGCAGAAGAAGCACCGGCUAACUACGUGCCAGCAGCCGCGGUAAUACGUAGGGUGCGAGCGUUGUCCGGAAUUAUUGGGCGUAAAGAGCUCGUAGGCGGCUUGUCGCGUCGGAUGCAGGCGGUUGGNGCUUAACCCCGGGUCUGCAUUCGAUACGGGCAGGCUAGAGUUCGGCAGGGGAGAUUGGAAUUCCUGGUGUAGCGGUGAAAUGCGCAGAUAUCAGGAGGAACACCGGUGGCGAAGGCGGAUCUCUGGGCCGAUACUGACGCUGAGGAGCGAAAGCGUGGGGAGCGAACAGGAUUAGAUACCCUGGUAGAACAGGAUUAAAACGUUGGGCACUAGGUGUGGGCGGCAUUCCACGUCGUCCGUGCCGCAGCUAACGCAUUAAGUGCCCCGCCUGGGGAGUACGGCCGCAAAACUCAAAGGAAGACGGGGGCCCGCACAAGCGGCGGAGCAUGUGGCUUAAUUCGACGCAACGUGUGGUUUAAUACCAAGGCUUGACAUACACCGGAAAGCCGUAGAGAUACGGCCCCCCUUGUGGUCGGUGUACAGGUGG
rnacentral:rRNA from 1 species